CAACGUCCUCCCUCCUCCUCCUCCCUCCUCCUCCCUCCUCUCCUUCAAACCCCUAGCUGUGCUGUCCACUAACUAACACUGUAUUGCUGUAGCAGCAUUGAUGCUGUUGAUGCUCGCUAGCUAGCUGUGUGUAGCUCGUCCAUGUCUCCUCUCCUCUUCCUAACUCUAGCCUGUAGCUUUGAGAUGUCUAACUGAUUGAUACACUGUCUCCUCUUGCAUGCUGUUGAAAUUAUGAGCUGUGAUAUAUUGUGAUAUAUUGUAAUAUGAGGUAACGAUAUGAGGUAACGAACGAUAUGAGGUAGCGUAAUGAGGUAACGAUAUGAGGUAGCGAUAUGAGGUAGCGGUAAAGGUAGCGGGUAGCGGUAUGAGGUAGCGAGUGGCAAUAUGAGGUAGCGGUAUGAGGUAACGAUAUGAGGUAGCGGUAUGAGGUAACGAUAUGGGGUAACGAUAUGAGGUAACGAUAUGGGGUAACGAUAUGAGGUAACGAUAUGGGGUAACAAUAUGAGGUAGUGGUAUGAGGUAGCGGUAUGAGAUAGCGGUAUGAGGUAGAUAUGAGGUAGAUAUGAAGUAGAUAUGUCUAACUGAUUGAUACACUGUCUCCUCUUGCAUUCAGUUUAAAUUAUGAGCUGUGAUAUAUUGUAAUAUGAGGUAGCGAUAUGAGGUAGCGAUAUGAAUUAGCGGUAUAAGGUAGCGAGAAGCGGUAUGGGGUAGCAAUAUGAGGUAGCUAGUGGCAAUAUGAGGUAGCGAGUGGCAAUAUUAGGUAGCGAGCGAUAUGAGGUAGCGAGUAGCGGUAUGAGGUAGCGGUAUGAGGUAGAGGUAUGGAGUAGCGAUAUGAAUUAGCGCUAUGAGGUAGCGAGUAGCGAUAUGAGGUAGCGAGUAGCGAUAUGAGGUAGCGAGUAGCGAUAUGAGGUAGCGAGUAGCGAUAUGAGGUAGCGAGUAGCGAUAUGAGGUAGCGAGUAGCGGUAUUAAGUAACGAUAUGAGGUAGCUAGUGGCAAUAUGAGGUAGCGAGUAGCGAUAUGGGGUAGCGAUAUGAGGUAGCUAGUGGCAAUAUGAGGUAGCGAGUGGCAAUAUUAGGUAGCGAGCGAUAUGAGGUAGCGAGUAGCGAUAUGAGGUAGCGAGUAGCGAUAUGAGGUAGCGAGUGGCAGUAUUAAGUAACGAUAUGAGGUAGUGGUAUGAGGUUGUGGUAUGAUGUAGCUAUGUGUAGUGAUAUGAAGUAGCUAAAUGUAUUGAUUUGAAGUAGCGAGUAGUGAUAUGAAGUAGCGAUUUGAAGUAGCGAUAUGAAGUAGCUGUAUGUAGUGAUAUGAUGUAGUGAUAUGAAGUAGCAAUAUGAGGUAGCAAGUAGCAAUAUAAGGUAAAAAAUGGCAAUAUGAGGGAGCGAGUGGCAAUAUGAGGUAGCAAUAUGAAGUAGCAAUAUGAUGUAGUGAUAUGUAGUGAUAUGAAGUAGCUAUUGGUAGUGAUAUGAAGUAGCGAGUAGUGAUAUGAAGUAUCGAUAUGAAGUAGCUAUAUGUAGUGAUAUGAAGUAGCAAUAUGAAGUAGUGAUAUGUAGUGAUAUGAAGUAGCGAGUAGUGAUAUGAAGUAGCAAUAUGAGGUAGCGAUAUGAGGGAGCGAGUAGUGAUAUGAAGUAGCGAUAUGAAGUAGUGAUAUGUAGUGAUAUGAAGUAGCGAGUAGUGAUAUGAAGUAGCAAUAUGAGGUAGCGAUAUGAGGGAGCGAGUAGUGAUAUGAAGUAGCGAUAUGUAGUGAUAUGAAUUAGCUAUAUGUAGUGAUAUGAAGUAUCUUUAUGUAGUGAUAUGAAUUAGCUAUAUGUAGUGAUAUGAAGUAUCUUUAUGUAGUGAUAUGAAGUAGCGAGUAGUGAUAUGAAGUAUCUUUAUGUAGUGAUAUGAAUUAGCUAUAUGUAGUGAUAUGAAGUAUCUUUAUGUAGUGAUAUGAAGUAGCGAGUAGUGAUAUGAAGUAUCUUUAUGUAGUGAUAUGAAGUAGCGAGUAGUGAUAUGAAGUAUCUUUAUGUAGUGAUAUGAAGUAGCGAGUAGUGAUAUGAAGUAGCUAUAUGUAGUGAUUUGAAUUAACGAUAUGUAGGAAUAUGAAGUAGCGAUAUGUAGGGAUAUGAAGUAGCUAUAUGUAGUGGUAUGAAGUAGCGAGUAGUCAUAUGAAGUAGCGAUAUGAAGUAGCGAUAUGAAGUAGCUGUAUGUAGUGAUAUGAAUUAGCGAGUAGUGAUAUGAAGUAGCGAUAUGAAGUAGCUGUAUGUAGUGAUAUGAAGUAGCGAUAUGAAGUAGUGAUAUGAAGUAGUGAUGUGAAGUAGUGAU